ACAUUGAUGUACAGAGUAUUUUGUCCACGCCGGCCGGCCGUACGCCAUACGCGUUAUAUGACAACAGAGUAUACAUGCGCAGCAUAGCAGCGUCAACGAGUCGAGUAGAUCUACGGCCACAGUGCACAGCUCAAUCAAGACAAUAGCGAUCCAGUUCUACAAUUGACUUUAUUUGAUACAUUGCAAUUAAUUAGGCUCUGUGUAAAAUACAUGAACAUUCAACAUGCAUUGUGGAGAACAAGGUUUCCUUGACUUACUUCUCAGUACCAGAAAAUUAGACAGAGAUAAAGGACUUGAAGAAUUGCAAAUGAAGCUUCAGCGGAGCAGCGCCAGUGACCAACCCGAGAUCGCUGGCGUCGAGAGUGCGCUCUUGUCCGCCCUGAAGGAUUCUCAUUCCAGCUGGGAGGCUAAACAUGGCGCUUUAAUGGGAGCCAAGGUUCUUAGUGGGUUUGAUGGAACCUCAAAACCUUUUCUGAAAGAAAUGCAGAACUGUGCAAUGCAUUUCCUGAGUGAUAGUGAAGCCCGUGUUAGGAUUGCAGCAGGUGAAUUACUCGGAUCAUUGAGCAAAUGGCUCGGGUGUGAAGUUUAUCUGCAGUGUCAGGGUGCAAUACUCGAUGGAGUGAAGUCCAACCUUGAAAGAGCCCCUCUCAGUGAUUCCUCUCAUGAAGAACUAGUCCAAGUUGGUCAUCUGGUGGAGAAGCUUGGUGGAGGGGCAAGUCCAGAUCAUUCUCACAGCAGUAAUGCAGAUAAGAUAUUUCAUGACACUGCAGGAUGGAAGAAUCUGGAAACUUGGAUGAGAUGUUUGCAGUCUGUGAUAGAAGGAUGUGGUUCAAACUUUCUCCCUUUCAUUGAUCAGGAACUACUCGACCUCAUCUUUCAAUCUCUUACCCACACCAAUCGUUUUGUAAGAGAAACAGGAUACUAUGUCUGUGCCACUCUCGUCAGCUGCGGUACUUCUCAAGAUGAAGAGAUGGAGCUUAGUGAAGGAAAUGCCAUUAAUACCAUCCUAGUCCAUGGUGACCAGCUGGCUUAUCACUUUGCCACAGGAUUGGCUGACAAUUGGAGUCAGGUUCGUUUGGCAGCUUCUACUGCAACAAGACAGUUCCUGGUCAAUCUACCGAAUGCUGCGGCCCAUCAGAGGUUUUUUCCUGCAUUACUUCCUAGAAUGUGUCUCAACAGGUACUAUGUAGCAGAGGGUGUGAGAAUCUAUUCCCAGGAGACUUGGCAUUUGGUUACUGGCUUGCAUGGCAAAGAGCUGGUAGAGCAGCAUAUUGGUGAUGUUGUUGAGUAUUAUAUUGAAGCAAGCGAUGCAGACAACCAUGCUGUAAGAGAAGCCGCAUGUGCAUGUAUUGCAGAGCUUGGUGCAAAGAUAGGGCAAGAUGUUGUACGUGGCCAUGUUCCUAGACUGCUAGACACUCUUCUAGUAUGCUUCAAAGAUGAUAGCUGGCCAGUCAGAGAUGCUGCGUGUGUUGCAUGUGGGAACUUCAUCAAAUGCUUUCCAGAAGAAUCAAGACAGAGCAUGGAUGCGCUUUAUCCCCUCUUCUACGAGAACCUACAAGACAACAUUCCAUCUGUAAGACAAGGUGCAGCGGCAGCCCUGGCUAAUGUCACAAGAGCCUAUGGUGAAGCUGCUUCAAGCAUUCUUCUUGUAAAGGUUGCAGAAGGCAUGAAGGGUUUGCAGAAUCAACCCAAGACAUCUGAAAGGUAUAGCGGUCUUGAUAAAGGUCCAGCCACAUAUGGAUUGGUUAAACAGCUCAGAGAUAAUGAUAUGGAUCUACAUUCAAAUCAACAGAUGUAUUCAUGUGGAUCUUUAGCUCCUAAGAUGGGGCGUGGUAGGGAGGGAGGCUGUAUGGAUCACAAAUUCAGAAGACCAUCAGAACCAUGGGAAAAGUGUGAUGGAUAUAUUCAUCUGCUAUCAGAGAUGUCUUCGAUCGAAUCCCUGGCGGCUGAAGUAGCAUCCUUACUCCCCCUUGUAGCAGAAGCAAGCAGAAAGCAGGAUUACCCACAACAUGUCUGUCUUCUAGAAACAGUUUGUAAACAGCUCCCUGUAUUAGGAAGAAACCUGGGGAAAAGACACUUUAAGCCUCAUCUGGAAUCUUUCUUUGAUCCCAUAUUUGAAGCUUUGGGUUGUGACAAUGCAUUGACGAGUACAGCAGCUAACCAGUGCCUUGAUGCAUUGGGUAACUUUCUUGGUGUUAACAUCCUCAGAGGAAGAAUAGAACAGUACAAUCCACAUUACUUGUCUAAAAUGAGAAUGGGAUUUCCUGGAAGGCCCUGAUAUCAAAAGACAGCAACCCAGUCAAAACCUGUUCUGUGCAUCUAUACGUCAUGAUGAAAAAGAUGAUACAAGUGAUGCAAUCAAAGUUUUGUAGCUUGUACCCAAUCUGCUUGAUUUACCACUGUAGCAAUGGUGCCAAGAAAUCACUUGCUUUCACUUAAGAGACAUUGUAUUUGUAUUUUGUUACUCUUGCUGCUCUUGCUCAUAUUACAGAAUGAACAAAAUUAUAUUUGAAUUUUUAACCAAAUUUUCAGCAUGAAUGUAGAAUGAGUUAAUCUGCAAGGAGUCAAUAAUUGUGUGAUAUUGAAUGUUUCAGAAUGGGAUACCGGAUUAUGUUCCAUAAGAUUGGGCCAAUAUUGCAGGACGAGUGUGAUAAUGACCCUGACGAGUGGAAUAUUUCUGUUAUUCCAUGAAAUAAAGCCAUCCAAUAGUAUCGUUGAUCUACACCCCCCCCAAACAAAAUUGAAUGAGCAUAAUGUCACUUAUCAUACUCAUAUAAUCAUAUUUAUUAUAGAUUAUGCAACUUACAUGUACCGCUUUAUGACAUCAUUUAGUAUCAUUACGCAUUGCAUUCCAUUUAGUACAUUUGUAUAUUUAUGGAGACUAUGCAACACAAUACCAUAUUGAACAGCAAGUUUUGUACAUGAGCCUGUGGGAUAUAAUAAUAAUAAGUAUUUCUUAUACGCACUUUCUAAUGAAUCAUCACUCAAGUCAAUAUCUGUUAUAUUAGAUAGCCUUGAAUGAUGAAGAUAGAUCUAACAUUAAAUCUAAACUUAAAAUUAUGUCUACGUACGGUACUUGCAGUAGAUUAGUUGUGUAUGAUAUUCACAGUAACUGAUGGAACUGGUGAAAGUAAUGUUAGUCUAGCGCCUUGAAUGCCCAUUUUCUAAUCAAAAUCAAGUUGGUUUAGGCCUAACUUAUUAGAUCUAAUUUAGAGUCCAGGACCCAAGUCAGAUCGAGAAUGCAUGCUGAGCCAUGAUCAGGUGCAGAUUCUGAUCUAAUUGGGGAUGAGAUAAACAUUAUUGUCUAAGUUAGAUCUAUGUCAGACUUCUAUUGGUGGUGGUCCUGAUCUUUCUGUUGUCGAACCAGGUCCAGAACCAAAUCUAACUAAUGUUGGGCUAACACUUCUUACGUUGUCGUUAGCAAGAUUUAACGUUAGAUUUCUCUAACUUUUAGACUCUACCCUUGAUCUAUAACUAACACGGUAAAAAGUUAGACCUAACUUAGAUCUUGGCCUCGAUUCUAGGCCUAAAUCUAGAUCUACUUUAUCGUCCAAAAGCUGAUCUUAUUCCUCAUUGCUCAUCAGACAUCACCACAAAUCUUUGACGUUAGACCAAAUCCAAAACUAAAAGUUAAAAGUAAGCUAAGCUUCAGUCUCUAUCUGCAAAACUAACUGUUAAUUCAUUGGCUCCACUCAUAUCCAGAAAUUGUUAAAUAAAUCCCCAGAAUUUCAGAAAUGACAGUUAAUCCUGUCUACACAAAUAACUGAAGAAGGCCUUAAGUUCGUCGUUGUAUCGUAGGACUCACUUAAAUUCCGCGGUCCGGUACGUUUUGAAGAGUGUUGAUCGAUUGCAAACGAUCGCUACUUUAGUCCAACGUAUGUUAUAUCCGUGUAAUGUGUAACAUCUAAUCCACAAGAGGGCGCCAUACACGUAGAAAAAUAUAUUCAUGGACCAGCUGGUCAAUAUAUUCAUCGAAGGUGGACCGGCUGGGAAAAUACAUUGAUUUCGAUCAUAUCGAAUGACGCGCUAUGGAACGAUCGCGCUUGGCUAUCUAAUAUAUAUAUAUAUUUAGAAGUAUAUCUCCCUCAAAGCCAGAUAACUUUACAUAAUUAUUAUUUUAUUGAGUGUUUCAUACAACAUUAGUUUAAUUGCAUGCAGUGCCAAUAACGAUAAACUCUUAAUGUGUAGUUAGAACAUUUUCUCUGUAUCAGCAUACUAGCAGUGUCAUAUUAAGAAGCUUUAAUUGUUGAAUCAAGAUUUUUAGCUUAAAUAUAUAUGUAUAUAUAUAUAUAUUCGUGACCAAGUUUACAGAUGUCUGCAUUAUUGUAUCUGUCAGUAAGAUAUUUUGCAAAACAUUUGUAAUGGUCAGGAUAUAAUGACAAAACGAGGCUAAAAUAAAUUUGGAUUAUACAAAAUGGUGUAAGCUGCUGAAAUAGUGAUACUUGAUUGGUUGAAAGCACUUUGUCAUAGACAUUCUAGCAUUUGAUGUUGAUAAAAGGCUUGUGAAACAGGGCCCGUAGUCCCUUUUAGUGCUGAAGAGACUUUAAAAGAGGAUAUUAAUUGAAAUUGAUGAUAUGUUAUGUACAAUAUGACAUGUACUCUGUGGACAAUGCAAACCCAAAUCCAUGGACAUUUUCUAAAAUAUUGAAAAUUAUUGAAAAUAAACUUUGAUUUUGUAGAGUAGAAACUAAUAGUAACUCUGUCUGCAUCUGGCCCAGGUUAGUGGAUAUGGCACAGUUUGAUAUUGUUUUUUUUAUUUAUUAUUAGUUGUUUGUGUUUGUUUAUUGAUUAUAUCACUGCUUGUUAUGGCAAUGUAUGUGUGUUUGUGUUUACCAAUCAUACCAUAGCAUUAAUGUUUUGAUUUUCAGUAUAUGUAUGAUAUGUAUAUUGAAUAAACUUUACAUAUCUCUUUAUCAAAUAUCAUAGUGGGAAGGCAACAGCAUACAUGUCAAGUAAAUGUGCUUAUCUUGAAAUACAAAUUUGUGAAUAUGAACAGAUAUACCUAAUGUACUCACCCUUUGACAAAAUUGAAAUAUGAAAGUGCAUGGGGGAUCCAUGUGUUGUUGAGGCAUUAAACAUUGGUUAAUUGUUUGUCAGAUUUAUUGGAAAUUUGGAAUGUCAUAGUUCAUUCUCAUAAAGACGUGUUUUUUUCCAAUUUGAAAUCUACAGUUUAUUUUGUUAAUUCAAUUACAUAUUCGGCCAAUUGAAAGAUCCUUCACAUAAAUUUUUUAAUUGAUCAUUUGUGUACUAGUCCCCUUCCAACUUAUUUUAAUUUUGUAAAUGAAUCAUAUGAGCUGAACAUUAAACUCAAUUGGUUGUAUUGGAAAAAAAUGGGAUUAAUCAAGUGAGAAUAGACAAGUUUAAAUUUAUAGAUAAAAUGUACAAUUUGCACACAAUAGUCAAGGCACUUGAAAACAAGGGUGCUGGGGGUGAAGCACCCUCCCCCCUCCCCCAAGAUUUGUCGGGGGGCACUGUGUUUGUUAUAUACCAAAGGCACGCACCACUGGCUGUGAGGUUGGUAUGCAUAAAGUAGAAAUUUAACCAAAAUUGCCUUUACAUUUUGGAAUGAAACCCCCUUUUUUUUUGCUUGUCAACAUCCUGAAAUAGUAUUAGUUUUCUGAUAUGAACCAUGAUUCUUUUAUGGCCACAGGUCACAUUCAAUGCGUUCUGCUUCGUGACCAAGAUUUAUAGCAAGAGCAGUAUUCAGUGUAUUUAUGACUUUGAUUACAUUCUUGUAUGUUUAAAAUGUGUUUAUUGAUGAGAAUGUAAAAUAAAAUGAAUAAUACUCUCACA